rnacentral:rRNA from 1 species
AGAGUUUGAUCCUGGCUCAGAGCGAACGCUGGCGGCAGGCUUAACACAUGCAAGUCGAACGGAACAUUUCGGUGUUCAGUGGCGGACGGGUGAGUAACACGUGGGAACGUGCCCUUAGGUUCGGAACAACACAGGGAAACUUGUGCUAAUACCGGAUAAGCCUUUCGAGGGAAAGAUUUAUCGCCUUUGGAGCGGCCCGCGUCUGAUUAGCUUGUUGGUGAGGUAAAGGCUCACCAAGGCUACGAUCAGUAGCUGGUCUGAGAGGAUGGCCAGCCGCAUUGGGACUGAGACACGGCCCAAACUCCUACGGGAGGCAGCAGUGGGGAAUCUUGCGCAAUGGGCGAAAGCCUGACGCAGCCAUGCCGCGUGGAUGAUGAAGGUCUUAGGAUUGUAAAAUCCUUUCAGCGGGGACGAUAAUGACGGUACCCGCAGAAGAAGCCCCGGCUAACUUCGUGCCAGCAGCCGCGGUAAUACGAAGGGGGCUAGCGUUGCUCGGAUUUACUGGGCGUAAAGGGCGCGUAGGCGGACAGUUUAGUCGGGGGUGAAAGCCCGGGGCUCAACCUCGGAAUUGCCUUCGAUACUGGCUGUCUUGAGUACGGGAGAGGUGAGUGGAACUCCGAGUGUAGAGGUGAAAUUCGUAGAUAUUCGGAAGAACACCAGUGGCGAAGGCGACUCACUGGCCCGUUACUGACGCUGAGGCGCGAAAGCGUGGGGAGCAAACAGGAUUAGAUACCCUGGUAGUCC